CCAUUAGAUCACCGAAGUUAAGCAUCAUUGGGCGCGGUCAGUACUUCAGUGGGUGACCACCUGGGAACACUAUGCCGUUG